rnacentral:snoRNA from 1 species
AGUGAGCAUCCUUACUUGUAUAUAUUUUUUUAAAAAAAUUGUAGCCCUACAUCAUUGGAAACGCCUCGCAGAGUAACAUUGUGGUUUUGCUUUCCUCACAGGACUAUUUGUUAGAUCUGUGGGAAGGAACUACCAGACAGUU